UCCAGACUCCUACGGGAGGCAGCAGUGGGGAAUAUUGGUCAAUGGGCGGGAGCCUGAACCAGCCAAGCCGCGUGAAGGAAGAAGGCGCCAGGCGUCGUAAACUUCUUUUGUCGGGGAACAAAGGGCGCCACGCGUGGCGUUGUGAGUGUACCCGAAGAAAAAGCAUCGGCUAGCUCCGUGCCAGCAGCCGCGGUAAUACGGAGGAUGCGAGCGUUAUCCGGAUUUAUUGGGUUUAAAGGGUGCGUAGGCGGUCCGGAAGGUCAGCGGUAAAGGCCGGGGGCUCAACCCCGGCGAGCCGUUGAAACUGGCGGUCUUGAGUGGGCGAGAAGUAUGCGGAAUGCGUGGUGUAGCGGUGAAAUGCAUAGAUAUCACGCAGAACUCCGAUUGCGAAGGCAGCAUACCGGCGCCCGACUGACGCUGAAGCACGAAAGCGUGGGUAUCGAACAGGAUUAGAUACCCUUGUA
rnacentral:rRNA from 1 species